rnacentral:lncRNA from 1 species
GGCAGGUGCAGGUGGUCCAGGACCCAGCAACCGGAGGAACCUUUGUCGUGAAGGCAGGUGCUGCCCAGCUGCUGCCAUGUUGCAUUCCUCUUGGAACUUUCUCAGAGCUCUUGACACCCCUGCUUAUCCCUCCCCUCCAACAUGCAUAUGGUAUCCAUGCCACACUCCAGAGCCCAAAUCUGCCUGUUCCUCUGAGCAUUGCCCAGGGCUCCAAGACUGACAUACACGCACAGUCUCACCCUCCGACAUGGAUUCCAUGGGAUUCCUGGGGUGCAGGCUGGGCCAGGAACUGGUGGGAGCAGAUGCUACUCGGCCGGUCUCCCACUUCAUAUCCUAGUGUCCUGAAGCCAAAGCCUGGGCAAUGUCAGCUCAUUUACAUACCCUGUCCCCUCCCCAG